CCUACGGGAGGCAGCAGUGGGGAAUUUUGGACAAUGGGGGCAACCCUGAUCCAGCCAUUCCGCGUGAGUGAAGAAGGCCUUCGGGUUGUAAAGCUCUUUCAGCUGGAGUGAAACGGUGCGCUCUAACAUAGCGUGCUAAUGACGGUACCAGCAGAAGAAGCACCGGCUAACUACGUGCCAGCAGCCGCGGUAAUACGUAGGGUGCGAGCGUUAAUCGGAAUUACUGGGCGUAAAGCGUGCGCAGGCGGAUUGUUAAGCAAGACGUGAAAUCCCCGGGCUUAACCUGGGAAUGGCGUUUUGAACUGGCAGUCUAGAGUGCGUCAGAGGGGGGUGGAAUUCCACGUGUAGCAGUGAAAUGCGUAGAGAUGUGGAGGAACACCGAUGGCGAAGGCAGCCCCCUGGGAUGACACUGACGCUCAUGUACGAAAGCGUGGGUAGCAAACAGGAUUAGAUACCCUGGUAGUCCACGCCCUAAACGAUGUCAACUGGUUGUUGGGGGAGUGAAAUCCCUUAGUAACGAAGCUAACGCGUAGAA
rnacentral:rRNA from 1 species